rnacentral:rRNA from 1 species
UACGAGGGGUGCAAGCGUUAUUCGGAUUCAUUGGGCGUAAAGGGUGCGUAGACGGCUUAUUAAGUCAACUGUUAAAUUCUCCGGCCUAACUGGAGAUCUGCGGUAGAAACUGGUAGGAUAGAGGGUGGAAGAGAGAAGUGGAAUUCUCGGAGUAGCGGUAAAAUGCGUAGAUCUCGAGAGGAACACCGAUGGCGAAGGCAGCUUCUUGGCCCAUACCUGACGUUGAGGCACGAAAGCGUGGGGAGCAAACAGG